GGGGUAAACCUGAGAAACCCAAAAGAUCGAAUGGGGAGAUUCAUCGUCAGCUCAUUUUGUAUAUGUAUAAGUUAUGAUGCGGGUUACUACUUGUAGUAUUGCCUGCACGUUCUUGUAUAUUUUGUUGCAAGAUGUUGUCGGCGUGCACUUCUCCCCUAGUAGGACAUCGCGACCCGUUGGGUGUCGGUCUACGGCCCAAGUGAUAGCCUUUAAUGUAAUUUAAAAAUCAUUUAAGAUCCUUGGUGUUUUCUGACCGGCUACUUGGCGGUACUCGUACGGUAUUUAGCCGCUAAUUUAUUAGCGUCCAUGUCCGUCACAAGCGAGGCUAAUUUACUGAUAGUGCGGACCUAGUGCCGUCGUUGGUAUUGGCCAGCUGUUGGUUGUACGUGAUUCUGGGACUGGCUAAAAUUAAUUACCGGUCGGCGACGCUACUGCUUUGGGUACUUUCAGGACCCGUCUUGAAACACGGACCAAAAGG
rnacentral:rRNA from 1 species